GAUGAAGAACUUAGCGAAAUGCGAUAAGUAAUGUGAAUUGCAGAAUUCAGUGAAUCAUCGAAUCUUUGAACGCACAUUGCGCCCUGUGGUAUUCCGCAGGGCAUGCCUGUUCGAGCGUCAUUUCAACCCUCAAGCUCCGCUUGGUGUUGGGCCCUGCCCCCGCGGCCGGCCCCAAAGACAGUGGCGGCGCCGCUUGGCCCUAAGCGUAGUACAUCUCUCGCUCUAGGACCCGGCGGUGGCCUGCCAGAACCCCCAACUCAUGUGGUUGACCUCGGAUCAGGUAGGGAUACCCGCUGAACUUAAGCAUAUCAAUAAGCGGAGGA
rnacentral:misc_RNA from 1 species